ACCAGGCUUGGAACCCAGCAGCCCGGGCCCAGAGUCUGUCCUUUUAACCCUGACACCUACUGCCCCUCCAGUGACGAGUGACAGCCAAGGAGCUAGAGGGACUGACCUCCCUCCCCUUCCCCGCUUGGGGUUCCAAUGCAAGAGAGGAGGGGCCUUUUUGACUCUUGCUUGGUCUUUAUGCCACGAAGUGAUAUCAGCAGCCCCACUUUAGGAGACCAGAGGCCUGGGUCCUGCCUCAGCAGCCCCGCGGUCCUGCUUCCUAGAGAACCUGCUUCCUAGAUCACUGCCAAGAUGAAGGUGGCUCUCACCUGGCAUCCGCGAUGAUCCGGGAGCCGAGCAGGACACACACAUGCAACCCUGGAAGCCCGAGCAGAUGCUGUGGGUCCCCAGAGUGCGGUGGAAACCGGCCAUCCCAGAGCAGAAGACACCACCACGGCUUGGUGCAUGAGCAGCCAGAGCAGGCCACCUGCUGGGACCAGAACACCCAGGGACUGCACCUAAAAGGACCGGGUUUAGAGCUGGUCCAAAGAGCAGCAUCUCUAAAUCGAGGAGGAGGAGAAGGAGGAGAGAAACACCAGAGGAGCAAGAUCAGAAACACAGGUGGACAGGCAGAAGAGAGACAGGAAAGAAGGACAGAUACAGAGAAAGCUGCAGUGGCCCAGCUGCGAGGACUCCAACCUGCUUUCCUGAUUCCCUCCAAACCCACUGGACAAGACAUCGUGUGAAGCCACCAGGACUCCAUCUGUCCAGUGUUGCAGAGAGGAUACUGUGCUCCAAUGCAAACUUAGAAGGGAACUUCUGACACCUUCUUAUUAAAGAAGACACCCAUCUCCAUAGUCACAUGCUCUGCAGGCUGUUUCCCACCCUACUGACUUUCUCUCUCUUCCCCUGAUCUGGGAGCCAAGAAAAGUGAGUCUCAGCGAGGUUAGGGGACCUGUCAGAAGCACAAGCCCCAGAAUGGCAGAGUCAGCUCUGAAUCCACUUGACUGCAUAGUCUGAUUCCCCGAGGCCUCUAGACUCCUGCCAUGCCACACAGUCACCUGCAGCCAACCUUUCAAGCUGACUGUGCCUCCAGGUCCCCUGAGGAUUGCUGCCCAAGUGGAGAUGCUGAUAGACAAGGUAUGUCUCCAAGGAACAGGUGUGGGGCAUGAUGUGCCUGCCACACAGACUCUGAGGGCUGGCUGUGGAUCCUCACGCUCACCAUCCUCUCCACGCUUAUCAACCUGGGCCAGGGGGCUCAUGCACCCUUAUCCCGCUGCAUCACAGACAUGAUCCCCAUUCACCAACCAGGUAGGUUGCCAGACUCCUCAUGGCAGAAGGCCACAGAGAGGAGCAGUAAUUCAAAGGAAGAAGCUCCUGAGAGAGACCUGGGUUUUGUUCACCGCAUUAAGACAGCUUCAGAGAAAAGCCUUUAUUGCAGACAGAAGAAUAUUAUUUCAGAGCUAUUCCCCUGGCCCAUUACAGCAAAAUAAUAGAACUUUAGUUUCUAUAUAUUUGUCAUGCUUAGUGCACAUGUAUUUCAAGCAUAUUUGACAGCAUAUAAAA